rnacentral:rRNA from 1 species
UGGGGAAUAUUGCGCAAUGGGCGAAAGCCUGACGCAGCGACGCCGCGUGAGGGAUGAAGGUUUUCGGAUCGUAAACCUCUGUCAGAAGGGAAGAAACCGCACUGUGCUAAUCAGCAGUGCCUUGACGGUACCUUCAAAGGAAGCACCGGCUAACUCCGUGCCAGCAGCCGCGGUAAUACGGAGGGUGCAAGCGUUAAUCGGAAUUACUGGGCGUAAAGCGCACGUAGGCUGCUUUGUAAGUCAGGGGUGAAAUCCCACGGCUCAACCGUGGAACUGCCUUUGAUACUGCUUAGCUUGAAGCCGGGAGAGGGUGGCGGAAUUCCAGGUGUAGGAGUGAAAUCCGUAGAUAUCUGGAGGAACAUCAGUGGCGAAGGCGGCCACCUGGACCGGUAUUGACGCUGAGGUGCGAAAGCGUGGGGAGCAAACAGG